GUGCUCACUUCAGCAGCACAUAUACUAAAAUUGGAACGAUACAGAGAUUAGCAUGGCCCCUAAAAAAAAAAAGAAUAUAUUGCGGGGAAAUGUGUCAUUCUAUU
rnacentral:snRNA from 1 species